ensembl:snoRNA
GGCCUCCUGGUGCUUACCACAGGCUGUGUUCUUCCACUGACUGUAUAGAAAGAGGAAGUAGAGUAAACCCACCCCAUAUACAUCUUAGCCCAGGCCCUUUGCCUGGUGUCUAUUGUGAAUGGGGGAACAAGG